UAACACAUGCAAGUCGAACGAUGAUAGAGAGCUUGCUUUCUUGAUUAGUGGCGCACGGGUGAGUAAUGCAUAGAUAAUGUGCCCUUAGUUCGGGAUAGCCACUGGAAACGGUGAUUAAUACCGGAUACUCCUUCUUGUUAUAAGACAAGUCGGGAAAGUUUUUCGCUAAGGGAUCAGUCUAUGUUCCAUCAGCUUGUUGGUGAGGUAAUGGCUCACCAAGGCUAUGACGGAUAUCUGGUUUGAGAGGAUGAUCAGACACACUGGAACUGAGACACGGUCCAGACUCCUACGGGAGGCAGCAGUGAGGAAUAUUGCACAAUGGAGGAAACUCUGAUGCAGCAACGCCGCGUGGAGGAUGACGCAUUUCGGUGUGUAAACUCCUUUUAUUAGGGAAGAUAAUGACGGUACCUAAUGAAUAAGCACCGGCUGACUCCGUGCCAGCAGCCGCGGUAAUACGGAGGGUGCAAGCGUUACUCGGAAUCACUGGGCGUAAAGGGUGCGUAGGCUGGCUUUUAAGUCAGAUGUGAAAUCCAAUGGCUCAACCAUUGAACUGCAUUUGAAACUGAAAGCCUAGAGUUCAGAAGGGGCAGAUGGAAUUAGUGGUGUAGGGGUAAAAUCCGUAGAUAUCACUAGGAAUAUCAAAAGCGAAGGCGAUCUGCUGGGAUGAUACUGACGCUGA
rnacentral:rRNA from 1 species